GUCCAAUAAUGAUGUUAUAUCUCAUCCUUUUAGCAUUUUUUAUCUCAGAAAUGCGGAAUCUCCGAGUCCAAAACACGGAAUCUCGGAAAUACGGAAUCUCCGAAACACGGAAACUCCGAAAUCUCAGAAAGUUGGAAUCUCCGAAAUAUGGACUCUCGGAAAUGCGGAAUCUAAGAAACUCAGGAUAACGAAAUUUACUAUAAUAGUUACUUACUGCGGAUUUCGAUUUACCGUUUCAGGCCUUCCGUUUCCGGUGAAUGUUUUCCGUUAAGGGGCGGACCAUUAGAAAAGUGAUGGGGGGGGGGGACUUUUUCAACUUGUACGAAUGUUUUUUUUAAUUUUUUUGCCUGUGUCGAUAAUUAUUUUAAAUAUAAUCCCUUGCACGAUUUUUUUUUAUUUUAACUUAUAAUUUUCCCCAUUGAAAAGUCUCUGAAAUUCGGCCUGUACUUUACGGACUUGAAAUCCAGUCCAGUCCUCGUAGUCGGAUUUGAAAUAUUUAUCAAAACAUUUAUCAAAUGACGCAAACGUGAUUUUUACUGCCAAAAUUUCGUUGUUGGGGGAAGUGAGUGAAGCAUCACUCAGUGAAGAAAGAAUGCGAGUAAAAAACAACUUGUAUACUUUUAGUACGAGUAAUGAAAGUUUAAUUCUUCUUUUUAUAGUGUACGUUGCGAGUAGAUGUAGCUUUAAUUAGUUAUACGGUUAAAUAUUAACAGGGCAUGGCGCCAUGAUUUGUAUGGUAUUAGUUUAUAUAGCAAGUUACCAUGUUUUUCUCUUAAAAAUUCCUCCAAAACAAAGUACUUUACAGUGAAGCGUUUCUGUAAUGACAGUGACUCAGCAGGCUCAGUUCAUUUACAAUUGUGAGUAGAACAGUUUCUAUGAAUGCAUUCCAGAUCACAAGAAAUACAUGGUUGCUUUGCACGCGUAGACGUAGAUAUUCACAAUUACUGUUUGCUUUUCGUCUUUGAUUUAAAUUUCAACCGUCUUUGUUGCCCGGUCUUUAUUUUAAUACUUAGUCUCUCCUCCUGCGCGAACGCGUACCCAAGCCUCUUGGAGCCGCCUCUUGCGCUCGAUCUCGGCUUAAUUCCUAAAAAUUUAACCGGUUCAACAAGCUGUCCUGUUUUCCAUAUUCGCCGUACCUUAUCGGAAACCGUCGGAUUAAGUUCGAGCGAGAGCGAACGGUAUGCGAAAGCGGGCAAUAUGGCGAUUGCAGGGGUCAGUAAGACACAUAGCCAGAACGAGCCGCUACCAUACACUGCAUACUGCACGCCGAAAUACGACUGUUGAGGAGCAAUGCCGAAGACAAACGCGGAAUAAAAU